UUCCAGCUCCAAUAGCGUAUACUAAAGUUGUUGCAGUUAAAAAGCUCGUAGUUGGAUUUCUGGUCGAGGCAGCCGGUCGGCACCAAGUGUGUUUGUACCAGGCGCCUCGUCCACUUUUGUAGAAGCUGUGUCCGUCAUUCAGUUGUCGGGCAUAGGGUCUGCAUCAUUUACUGUGAGCAAAAUAGAGUGUUCAAAGCAGGCUUAGGCCAUGAAUACAUUAGCAUGGAAUAAUAAGAUAAGACCUUGGUCUAUUUUGUUGGUUAGCAUUCCGAGGUAAUGAUUAAUAGGGAUAGUUGGGGGUAUUCGUAUUCAAUUGUCAGAGGUGAAAUUCUUGGAUUUAUUGAAGACGAACUACUGCGAAGGCAUUUACCAAGGAUGUUUUCAUUA
rnacentral:rRNA from 1 species